AGUGUCCGCCCCGAGGCGGGGCUCCCCUCAGCUUCGAGCUGUCCUUUCCUCUUCGGCCUCGGCUCUGGCUGGAGUACCCGGGCCGAGCUCCAGACACGUGCAUAGGGGCCAGCCGUGGGCUUUGGAUAGAUGCUGCCCCAGGAUGAUUUGAAAGUAGGACAUCCUUGGCCCUCCUGAAGAGAAGAAAUUCCUGGCAGGUGGCCUGUCUGUAUGGCAUUCUCAGAUAAAUCCCAAGCAUGGUGCCUGGCACAUGGCAGGAACUCCCUGAAUGUUGGACAAAAUGACUGAAGGCAUGGAUGCCUUUACCUGAGUGAGAAAUCUGCCUCCAUCAGAACCUCAGAUGUCUGAGAGCCCUAUGUGACACCAGGAGAAAGAGAGUGCAAGCAGGGGAGAACAGAUGAUUCAAAG